rnacentral:lncRNA from 1 species
GGGUUCUCUCAUAGUGAUCGAUUCUUAAGAAUUUUUGCAGUGUGAUUGCCAAAAUCGUAUCAUACAUCUCUUGGGGAGUAUAAUGCACUAGUUUCUACCCAUUUUGGCAGUAUGGACGAGAUUCGAGUAACUGGCGGGGUUAGAGCACGGACCAGUAGUGACAACACUGUUGUCCGCGACACUGACGCGGGACCGAGGAAUCUUAGUGUAGAACACAACACAAAUAGAUAUCCAUAGAUAGUGAAUGCCACCACAGAUAGAUAUCCAUUGCGUAGUCACCAGUCUAAACCACAUCCCACCGCAAGCCAGUCGGAGAGACGGAGCACAAGUCGCACGAAAGGCGCCGACCGGACACAGCGCGCGGUGGCCUCAACAAAACGUCGAGCAGGCGCAACAGGGGAGCACAAGGGACAAGUCAACAUCGAACAACAUGCUGAUCCUAGAAACCAAAGCAUGGGCUAUCGGCGAUCAAGGACGUCUCUUCUUCUUCGCCCUUACCCCUCCAUGCGAACUACCGCUAGACUUCAUCACCCCAACGGUGAUUUCAGAAACAUUAACACAACACACCGAUACAUCCACUCACAAUGACAAUGGGAACGCGCGCAUCCAGGAAGCACGUUAACCUCAAUAAUGGAACCGAUUUCUCUCGCCUCCUUGAACGUUCGAUGCUUGGGCCGUGGACUAGCUGGCGUCAGGAAAAGACGCAAGAUGAAGGAGUUAUUUGCGAGAGUAACCCCCAGGCCCGACAUCCUCUUUCUGCAAGAACACAAAUAUUCACUCGAGGAAUGUCAAAUCAGAGCACAAAAAGUGGACUUCCUCCGCUAUACCUCUCGAUGGAGUGAUACGAGGUACUCAGCCGCCCGUGACUCUUUCACAGGCGGCAUAGGCAUGCUACUAUCAAAAAAGCUGGCUGAACAAAUCUGUGAACAUGGGGUUAUAGACUCUGGCCGAGCUCAAUAUGUGACACUCCAACUCUCACACAACCUCAAGCUAGGCAUCAUUAAUGUCUACGGUUACAAUGACACAGGCAGUAGGGCAAGCCUAUGGAAACGCAUGCGACGACACCCGCUCCCCCAGCACACUACAUAAUGGCGGGAGACUUUAACUGUAUCGAACAGAUUUCCGACAAACAAGGUGGAGCUGCCACCACCGGCCGGGGUCAGAACGAAAUCACGGCAUGGAACGACCUUACACUUUUCCUAGAACUCUCCGAUUGUUUUCUCAAUGGGCAUUUCAGGAAAGUUGGCAACAAAUUAUUUACUUGGGAUAACGGUCGCCAAGCCCCACAAAUGGUCUGUUCCUGCAUAGACAGGAUUUACCUCCCAACCGCGAUACACCAUCUGGGAGGCCUCACGGGCAUAUGGAGCUCAAUGCCCCAUAUAUCCGAUCAUGCUCCCAUUUUCGUCAAACUAAAUGCGGAUCGACCACCACCACCUAAACCAAUUAGAUUCAACACCCACCUUCUGAAAAUUCCGGAAAGUCGAACUCUCCUCCUGCAAACCUGGCAACAAACAAUCAGGAAAUAUUCUACCCAAAACAGGAACAACCGCGUUGCGGCGGCUAUCCAAGCUGUCAAAGUAGUCAGCGAUUGGGAAACGAAAACGAAAAGGAGGAAGAAAGAUUGGUCUACUGAAUUCGAGAACCAAUUCUCAGCAGUCUAUGAGGCUGAGAUCACGCUCCAGAAUCAAUGGAAUGAUGCAGAAGCCCGAAACAAACUGGAUGUAGCCCAAAGCAACCUACAACGGCUCCGACAAGGGAAAAUGGAAAAGAAAUAUGAUCAUAAACUCGCCAACUGGAUCCGGGUCGGGAAUAGAUGCAGCAAGGAAUUCUUCGAACUGCAUAGUGGUCAACGCCGAUCCACGAUCCUUAAGGCGCAAAAUGCUAACGGACGCAUACUCACCGACCCCAUCGCUAUUUGCGCAUACGUCGACAACUAUUACACUUCCCUGUAUGCAAAAGACAACAAUUGAACACAACGACUCAGUCCAAAGUGAAUGCUUCCGUAGCGUCCCACGGAAGAUCUCGGAGACACAAAAUACACGCAUAACCCGGCCGCUAACUCUGUCGGAAGUUCGACAUGCCAAACAAGCCAUAC